rnacentral:rRNA from 1 species
AGCCAUGCAUGUCCAAGUACAUGCCGCAAUAAGGCGAAGCCGCGAAUGGCUCAUUAAAUCAGUUGUGGUUCCCUGGUUAAAACCCUUCCUACUUGGAUAACUGUGGCAAUUCUAGAGCUAAUACAUGCAGCAGAGCUCCGACCUUAGGGGACGAGCGCUUUUAUUAGACCAAAACCAAUCGGGCCUCGUGCCCGUGAACUGUGGUGACUCUGGAUAACUUUCGGCAGAUCGCACGGGCUUGUCCCGGCGAUAAAAUCUUCGAGUGUCUGUUUUAUCAACUGUCGACGGUACGCUACGCGCGUACCGUGGUCGUAACGGGUGACGGGGAAUCAGGGUUCGAUUCCGGAGAGGGAGCCUGAGAAACGGCUACCACAUCCAAGGAAGGCAGCAGGCGCGCAAAUUACCCAAUCCCGGCUCGGGGAGGUAGUGACGAAAAAUAACAAUACGGGACUCUUUUGAGACCCCGUAAUUGGAAUGAGUGUACUCUAAAUCCUUGAACGAGUAUCUAUUGGAGGGAAAGUCUGAUGCCAGCAGCCGCGGUAAUUUCAGCUCCAAUGGCGUAUAUUAAAGUUGUUGCGGUUAAAAAGCUCGUAGUUGAAUCUCAGUUACGGAGGGUCGGUGCGCCUACCGGCGUACCCGGCCCGUUCUGAACACGUCGCCGGUUUGCCUCGGUGAUCUUCACCGGUUGUCUGGGUUGACCGGCAGUUUUACUUUGAAAAAAUUAGAGUGCUCAGAGCAGGCGGAGAGCCUGGAUAAUGGUGCAUGGAAUAAUGGAAGAAGGCCCCGGAUCCGUGUUAUUGGUUUUCGGAACCCGGGGUAAUGAUUAAGAGGGACGGACGGGGGCAUUCGUAUUGCGACGCUAGAGGUGAAAUUCUUGGACCGUCGCAAGACGAACUACUGCGAAAGCAUUUGCCAAGAAUGUUUCCAUUAGUCAAGAACGAAAGUUAGAGGUUCGAAGGCGAUCAGAUACCGCCCUAGUUUUAACCGUAAACGAUGCCAGCCAGCAAUCCGGCUGUGUUACUUCAUGACACGCCGGGAAGCUUCCGGGAAACCAAAGCCUUUGGGUUCCGGGGGAAGUAUGGUUGCAAAGCUUAAACUUAAAGGAAUUGACGGAAGGGCACCACAAGCCAUGGAGCAUGCGGUUCAAUUUGACUCAACACGGGGAACCUUACCCAGCCCGGACACAGGAAGGAUUGACAGAUUAAGAGCUCUUUCUUGAUUCUGUGAGUGGUGGUGCAUGGCCGUUCUUAGUUGGUGGAGCGAUUUGUCUGCUUUAUUGCGAUAACGAACGAGACUCUAGCCUAUCAAAUAGACGCUCCGAUCUUCUUGAGUCGGACGGUCUUCUUAGGGGGACAGGCGGCGACUAGCCGCACGAGACAGAGCAAUAACAGGUCUGUGAUGCCCUCAGAUGUCCGGGGCCACACGCGCGCUACAUUGAAGGAAUCAGCGUGUGCUUUCCUGGUCCGACAGGACUGGGUAACCCGUUGAAUCUCCUUCGUGCUCGGGAUAGGGGCUUGCAAUUGUUCCCCUUGAACGAGGAAUGCCUAGUAGGCGCGAGUCAUCAGCUCGUGCCGAUUAGGUCCCUGCCCUUUGUACACACCGCCCGUCGCUACAAGCGAUUGAACGGUUUAGUGAGGUCUUCGGACUGGCGCUCGGUUCGGCCCUCCGGACCAGCCGACGUGCCGGAAAGAUGACCGAACUUGAUCGUUUAGAGCAU